AUUGAACGCUGGCGGCAGGCCUAACACAUGCAAGUCGAACGGUAGCACAGAGAGCUUGCUCUCGGGUGACGAGUGGCGGACGGGUGAGUAACGUCUGGGAAACUGCCCGAUGGAGGGGGAUAACUACUGGAAACGGUAGCUAAUACCGCAUAACGUCGCAAGACCAAAGUGGGGGACCUUCGGGCCUCACACCAUCGGAUGUGCCCAGAUGGGAUUAGCUAGUAGGUGGGGUAAUGGCUCACCUAGGCGACGAUCCCUAGCUGGUCUGAGAGGAGGACCAGCCACACUGGAACUGAGACACGGUCCAGACUCCUACGGGAGGUAGCAGUGGGGAAUAUUGCACAAUGGGCGCAAGCCUGAUGCAGCCAUGCCGCGUGUAUGAAGAAGGCCUUCGGGUUGUAAAGUACUUUCAGCGGGGAGGAAGGCGGUGAAGUUAAUAACUUCACCGAUUGACGUUACCCGCAGAAGAAGCACCGGCUAACUCCGUGCCAGCCGCCGCCGUAA
rnacentral:rRNA from 1 species